rnacentral:rRNA from 1 species
GAUGAACGCUGGCGGCGUGCUUAAGACAUGCAAGUCGAACGGAGAACGAGCAGCAAUGUUGGUUCUCAGUGGCGAAUGGGUGCGUAACACGUAGGUGACCUGCCCCGAAGUGGGGAAUAACAGUCCGAAAGGACUGCUAAUACCGCAUGUGGACCGGGGAGUUAGAGAGCCCGGUCUAAAGGUUGCAAAACCGCUUCGGGAGGGACCUGCGGCCCAUCAGCUAGAUGGUGAGGAACGGCUUACCAUGGCGAAGACGGGUAGGGGACCUGAGA